rnacentral:misc_RNA from 1 species
GUUCCCUUUUUCGACCCCAACGGACUUGUUCUCAUCACCAGACGUCUAAAUCGUUUUUUUUCAUUUCUCAAAUGUUUUUCAGUUUAUUUCUGUUGAGUGUCGCGGUAAAUCAACUUGACGCUUCUCCGGUCCCUCCCGAAACCGAUGUCAAUAAUUAUCUAGCGAGUUUUGGUUACCUACAUCCGAAAUACAAGAAUUCCUCUAAUUCGGUCAUUGCAGGGGAAACUAUCCGAAUUACCGACAGAGAUUUCCAGUCCUUUUUCGGCUUGAAUAUAACAGGUGAAGAAGACGAGGAAACAUUAAGAUGGAUUAGGAAGCCUCGUUGCGGUGUUCCGGAUCGAAUCAUAACGGAUGAUUCUUCCACUCAACAGAAGCGCAAAAUUAAUAGUAACGGAGAAAACCGGUGGACUAAAAAUAAAUUAACUUACGUUGUUCGUAAAUUCACGCCGGAUUUGGAAGAAUCCUUCGUGGUUGGAGAAAUCGCCAGAGCAUUUCGGCUGUAUGGAAAAAAAGUUUACCUUCACUUUUAUUGAGACGGGAAAAGUCGACAUUGAAAUCCGUUUUGAGAAGGGCUCUCAGACGAUAAAAAUCACCAAAAGUUUGCAAAGUUUGAUGAUGGCCCGGGUGGUGUUUUGGCUCACGCUAUCUUUCCCGAACGUGGUGAUACAAUCUUCGAUGAAGCGGAAACAUGGACCAUCAGCAGUGAGGGUACGAAUUUGUUCCAGGUGGCUGCUCACGAAUUUGGUCACGUCCUUGGACUGCCGCAUUCCGAUACCAAAACGGAUGUGAUGACUCCAAGUUACGAUUACCGCCCUGUAUUUCAAAUUGGAAACUGGUGACAUCAGUAGAAUCGAGGUUUUAUCAAUUCCGAGGCUGAUUAUUGUCACCACCAGGUUACUGUUUACUUCACAAAUGGGCAACUCAGUUCUCACGAAUGUUCGUCUGCAAUGAAAAAUCAGAACAUGGUGUGUCGUUGAGUUAAGUCUGGUGUCUCGUUGAGUUAGGAAAUAGUUGAGCCAUAAACUUGAGAUGGAGAUUGUGGAGAGAUUGACGUCGACGUAACCAGAGGAAGUUAUCCUGGCAACUAGUCGUGGGACUUGACAAGAUGAAAAAAAUUCAUCAUCUGAUCCAACACCAACGACAUCGAAGGGAAAUGCCAAACGAAAUCCAUCAAAGUUGAAGCAACAGUUCAGCGUCGACUGGUCACUAGACUGAAUUUAUCAUUGGCGCUCCUGCUCUCUUCAACAAAACUCCGCAAAACUCGUCCCGAUUCGAUUCCCGUUCAAAUAAGAAGAACGGAAAUUAGAAAAUCCUGAAGAAGAUGUAAAACGAAGUGGAGUUCUACUGAGCUUUGGAGUUCUACGGUCGCCAUACCGAUGGUUCAGCCUUCAGGUAUAAAAUUUACAAGAAGUUGAGUCCUCAGAGUUGAUAUUUCACAAUGUAGGCUUUAAAUUAUUUGUCAAAUUGAUUGUAUUUGCAAUUUUCAAAUAACUUUCAGUUUUGUUACAACAACGAAGGUAAAGGAUUUGAUUUCAUUGCAUUUGCCGCCUGAUACAGGCGAUUGUAUAGCAUCUAGCGGAGAAAUUCUUUACUGCUUAUCGGCCAUUGCCAUUCAUCGUCUGCUACUUAAUUUUUUCAUUUCUCACGUGGUCGGAGUGGAGACGGUCACCUGGUCGCCAUUUUUCUGGAAUUUGGAAAUUCCUUGCCCAGUUUGUCGUGUCUUUGUUAUCUCUAGUUGAUUAUCUAGCUUCUAAUUAUGCUACUAAGUAUUGUUUCAUAUUUUUUGUAGUCAUUUCGUUUCCAUUAAACAUUUCUCGCUGUCAAACAGUAUCGAUAUAAUUUGUUCUUCAUGUCCAGCCCAGCUUUUGAUUCGUUGCUCAAAGUAACUUCUAUAUUGAAAUUUUCCCAAAAUAUUUUUGUUCUUGUUUAUUUAAGUUAGAAUAGUUAAUGAACCUAAACAUUAUUUGUGCUAAUCUGUCUAUUUUAUUCAGAUUUCCUGACUUCAGAAGCUGGUGAGGUGUUAAGUGACGGUGAGGUGUUAAGAGAUCUGCCAGAUUGACCAGGACUCGUGAUCAUCACCAAAUUAUUUCAUGUAGUAAUUUACCUGUUAAGUGAACACUAAGAUUAUAUUGUGAUUCCUUUUCCUAAGUUGAGAUAUCAAAAUUUUUGUAAAAGGUUUUUUUUGUGUUAGGAUUCAUUUUUGACAGGAAAAUUAAAGAAGUUUUUUUUGGGGGGGAAGGAGGUACUUUCUACUUUGGAUUCUUUAAUUUUAUUUUUGAGGGUGGACGAGGUGGCAAGAUUCAAACUUAACUGUAAAUUCCUUGACCCUUGUUCUGUGGCGUUGGAGGACAACGUCAUUUGACAGAAUUUUAGAGUAUUGUACAUUUCUUGUGUUCCUGUUCCAAGAAAAUUGACUCUUUUUAAGGUUUCAGCCAUGUCAAUCGAUUUCGUAAUGAAUGGUCUCAAUUAGGUUUUGUUUUUUAUUAGCUUGACUUUACUUCUCCCCGAGAUUAGUUGCUCCUGACUAGUAAUUGCCAUUUUCCGUAUCGACUUCUUCCUAAUAUUAAUUGCCACAAUCUUCUCCUGACUGAAUGUCUUGGAUGCAGUUUUAUCACGGCCAUGUUUACAGUUUGACUGAUUGGCGAUUUCACGUAGUCAUACAAUUAAAACAGAUUGGGAUAAAUUUUGUUCUUUUAUUUGAAGGCAUUUAUAAAAAGAUUUUCCGAACAUCAACCAGCUCUUUCUCUUGCUAAAUAAACUAUGUAUAUUCUUUUACGAUUUGUAGUGUGUUUAAAAGUAUUGAUUCUUAAAGUUGAGAUGUGUAAAUAAAAACAGAAAUAAAUA